CCAGGUUCCCCCUUGACCCCCACCCCCCUCCUCCUCACCAUCCACCCUCCGUCGCGAGACGACUUCGAAGGUCCUUUCCGCAACGCUUCCAUCCUAUGCCAAACUCGCGGUCGCCGUCGACCCGGCGCGGUCACGUGGUACAAAAAUGGCGUCUCCAUCCCCGGAAGCGUCGUCACCGUCGUCAAGGCCGGAGCCGAAACGGUGGCCGAGAGUCGAGUCGGCGUCACCGAAAGCGAAUGGGAUUCUGGGUCACCUUCAGCUGCCUGGUGGAAGGGGAGAUGAGGAACACCAGCAAGAGGAUGGAGUGCGGAUUGGAGACCCCCGACCCGGCCGAAAUCACCGUCCGCGUCGUCCCCCCUUCCUUCGUGGAUAUUUUCACCAGCAAAUCAGCCAAGCUGACGUGUCGGGUGAGCAACAUGGGCAACGUGGAGAGCCUGGAUGUUUCGUGGUGGAAGGAGACGGGGGGCAAAACUGGAGACGGCCGUGGGGCAGCGGGUGCUGCAGAGCAAUGGGCUCUAUGCCGUGGAAGCCGUGGCUUCGGUGUGCGCCGACGAAUGGGAGCGAGGGGAGGAUUAUAUCUGCAAGGUGAACCACCAUGAGCUGCUGUUCCCGGUGGAGGAGAGGUUGAGGAAGACGGAGGCUCGAAACGCCCGCCCCCCGAAGGUCUACGUCUUCCCCCCCCCUCCGGAACAACUCAAUGACCGCCAAAGCCUCAGCAUCACCUGCCUGGCCCAAGGCUUCAACCCGCCCCAGUUUUUCAUCCGCUGGUUGAGGAACGGGGAGCCGCUGCCCCAAAGCCAUUCGUUGACCUCCAGCCCCAUGGCGGAGAGGCCCGAAAACGAAUCCUAUGUGGCCUACAGCGUUUUGAGGGUGGGGGCCGAAGAGUGGGGAGCUGGGAACGUCUACACGUGCGUGGUGGGGCACGAGGCCCUGGAGCUUCAGCUGGUGCAGAAGUCGGUGGAUAAGGCUUCGGAUCUCCUGGAUUCAGCGCUGGAAGCGGAGGAGGACGACGACGUCCGCAACCUUUGGGCCACGGCCUCCACCUUCAUCGUCCUCUUCAUCCUCAGCCUCUUCUACAGCGCCACCGUCACCCUCAUCAAGGUGAAAUGACCCCAAAUUUCGGAGCCGAUUUUCGCCGCCUCCCGACGUCGCCUCAAACAUCCCCAAAAUUCCCCAAUUUUGGGGUUUCUCACCCCAAAAAAGGCUGUAAAUAUUUCGUCCUCCAAACCCAACGAUUUCACCCCAAAAUCCGCGCGGUUUUCGUCCAAUAAAUCUCUCCUUUUUUUUUUU